rnacentral:sRNA from 1 species
CAGGUACCUGCACAUGCUGUUCUUUGUCAGUGCUGUCAAGUGUGUGCCAGGGUGAUCCAUGGUCACUUUCCGGGAUGGCAGCAAGGUGACUUCGGCUGAGGAUGACCCUGACUGAAAGGCUGCGUGAGAAGAUAUCUCGGGCCUUCUACAACCAUGGGCUCCUCUGUGCAUCCUAUCCCAUCCCCAUCAUCCUCUUCACGGGGUUCUGCAUCUUAGCCUGCUGCUACCCACUGCUGAAACUCCCCUUGCCAGGAACAGGACCUGUGGAAUUCACCACCCCUGUGAAGGAUUACUCGCCCCCACCUGUGGACUCUGACCGCAAACAAGGAGAGCCUACUGAGCAGCCUGAGUGGGUGGGUACUCGUCAUGUUCCUGAGGCCAGCACAGAGCAUUGGGUGGAGACUGGCUGAGGCAGGGGUCUGCCAGUGAGAUUGAGUAUGUGGGUGCCCCGGUGGCUUAUGUCCAGCAGAUAUUUGUGAAGUCCUCAGUGUUUCCCUGGCACAAGAACCUCCUGGCAGUAGAUGUAUUUCGUUCACCUUUGUCCCG